rnacentral:SRP_RNA from 1 species
GGCUGAGAGCUGCUCAAGGUUUAGCUGUGAACCCCGUCAGGUUCGGAAGAAAGCAGCGGUAAGCGGUAAUGGCUUGUGACGCAAACUCUCAGUCGCC